rnacentral:lncRNA from 1 species
AGAACCGAAAUAAAUGUUGUCACAAAGCAGUAUCAAAAGAGCAAAACGAGGAGGAAAAAGAAGGAUUGAAUGAGCUUAAGAUCAAUACUGAGGAAAAGAAGAAACAAUCUACAAAGAGCAGAAAGAAUCAGAAAAGCAAGGAGAGAAAGAGGGAAGAAGAGAGCAAUGUUUGUUGCCAACCCCUACAAGUUUACCAAAGCAACACUGGACGGAACAAAGGCGGGAUCAGUAAAAAGCACGAAAGAGGAAGUGGAAAAACAUCUAUCAGAGACACACAGCGACGAAAGGCAGUGGGAACAUCUAGGUAACUGCGAUAGGAUAGAAAAUGUACAAGAACCAGAAAUACCAAUGAACACUAAGGAACCAUCAUGGAAAGAAGUGUCAGAUGUAGUGAAGAAAGCCAGGUCUGCAUCAUCACCAGGACCAAAUGGCAUACCGUACAAGGUAUAUAAGAAGUGCCCAAAAAUUUUGAAACACCUGUGGAGGCUACUGAAAGUAGUUUGGAGGAAAGGGAAGAUACCAUCAUGUUGGCAGAAAGCAGAGGGGUGUUUUAUUCCAAAAGAAGAAAAAUCGGAGGACAUCACACAAUUUCGGACAAUUUCCCUCCUAAAUGUAGAAGGAAAGAUCUUCUUCUCUAUUAUGGCUAGAAGGAUGACAUCAUAUAUGACAGAUAACAACUAUGUAGACACUUCAGUACAGAAGGGCGGAAUACCAGGAUUCUCAGGAUGUAUUGAACAUACAAGCAUCAUUUCACAACUUAUUCAAGAGGCC